UACGAAGGGGGCUAGCGUUGCUCGGAAUUACUGGGCGUAAAGCGCACGUAGGCGGAUCUUUAAGUCAGGGGUGAAAUCCUGGAGCUCAACUCCAGAAUUGCCUUCGAUACUGUUUGGCUUGAGUAUGGCAGAGGUUGGUGGAACUGCGAGUGUAGAGGUGAAAUUCGUAGAUAUUCGCAAGAACACCAGUGGCGAAGGCGGCCAACUGGGCCAUUACUGACGCUGAGGCGCGAAAGCGUGGGGAGCAAACAGG
rnacentral:rRNA from 1 species